rnacentral:rRNA from 1 species
UGGGGAAUAUUGGACAAUGGGCGCAAGCCUGAUCCAGCCAUGCCGCGUGAGUGAUGAAGGCCUUAGGGUUGUAAAGCUCUUUCACCCACGACGAUAAUGACGGUAGUGGGAGAAGAAGCCCCGGCUAACUUCGUGCCAGCAGCCGCGGUAAUACGAAGGGGGCUAGCGUUGCUCGGAAUCACUGGGCGUAAAGGGCGCGUAGGCGGCCGAUCAAGUCAGGGGUGAAAGCCUGUGGCUCAACCACAGAAUUGCCUUUGAUACUGUUCGGCUCGAGACCGGAAGAGGUUGGUGGAACUGCGAGUGUAGAGGUGAAAUUCGUAGAUAUUCGCAAGAACACCAGUGGCGAAGGCGGCCAACUGGUCCGGUUCUGACGCUGAGGCGCGAAAGCGUGGGGAGCAAACAGG